rnacentral:rRNA from 1 species
GAUCAUGGCUCAGGACGAACGCUGGCGGCGUGCCUAACACAUGCAAGUCGAGCGGAGAACAGGGAAGUGCUUGCACGGAACUGUUUUUAGCGGCGGACGGGUGAGUAACGCGUGAACAAGCUGUCCUCCACAGGGGGAUAACACUUGGAAACAGGUGCUAAUACCGCAUAAGACCACAGGGGUGCAUGCUCCAGGGGUCAAAGGAGCAAUCCGGUGAAGGGUGCGUUCGCGUCCCAUUAGA